rnacentral:tRNA from 1 species
GGGGACGUAGCUCAGUUGGGAGAGCGCCUGCUUUGCAAGCAGGAAGUCAGGGGUUCGAAUCCCCUCGUCUCCACCA